rnacentral:rRNA from 1 species
GACGAACGCUGGCGGCGUGCUUAACACAUGCAAGUCGAGCGGUAAGGCCCCUUCGGGGGUACACGAGCGGCGAACGGGUGAGUAACACGUGGGUGACCUGCCCUCAGCUCUGGGAUAAGCCUGGGAAACUGGGUCUAAUACCGGAUAUGACUCCAUGACGCAUGUCGUGGGGUGGAAAGCCUUGUGCGGCUGGGGAUGGGCCCGCGGCCUAUCAGCUUGUUGGUGGGGUGANGGCCUACCAAGGCGACGACGGGUAGCCGGCCUGAGAGGGCGACCGGCCACACUGGGACUGAGACACGGGCCCAGACUCCUACGGGAGGCAGCAGUGGGGAAUCUUGCGCAAUGGGCGAAAGCCUGACGCAGCGACGCCGCGUGAGGGAUGACGGCCU